UACGAAGGGGGCUAGCGUUGCUCGGAAUCACUGGGCGUAAAGCGCACGUAGGCGGUCUUUUAAGUCAGGGGUGAAAUCCUGGAGCUCAACUCCAGAACUGCCCUUGAUACUGAGAGGCUUGAGUUCGGGAGAGGUGAGUGGAACUGCGAGUGUAGAGGUGAAAUUCGUAGAUAUUCGCAAGAACACCAGUGGCGAAGGCGGCUCACUGGCCCGAUACUGACGCUGAGGUGCGAAAGCGUGGGGAGCAAACAGG
rnacentral:rRNA from 1 species